CAGCCGCCGCGGUAAUACCGGCGGCCCGAGUGGCGGCCACUAUUAUUGGGCUUAAAGCGUCCGUAGCCGGGUUGGUUAGUCUCCCGGGAAAUCUGGCCGCUUAACGGUCAGAAUUCCGGGAGAUACUGCCAGCCUAGGGACCGGGAGAGGCCGAGGGUAUUCCCGGAGUAGGGGUGAAAUCCUAUAAUCCCGGGAGGACCACCUGUGGCGGAGGCGCUCGGCUGGAACGGGUCCGACGGUGAGGGACGAAGGCCAGGGGAGCAAACCGGAUUAGAUACCCGGGUAGUCCUGGCUGUAAACGAUGCGGACUUUGUGUCGGACAAGCUAUGAGCUUGUCCGGUGCCGGAGGGAAACCGUUAAGUCCGCCGCCUGGGGAGUACGGCCGCAAGGCUGAAACUUAAAGGAAUUGGCGGG
rnacentral:rRNA from 1 species